UGGGCCUCUUCGACGGGCGUUCCUCUGCCUCGCCCUCCCCGUGCGAGCUCGCCUCCGCUGUGCGUUUGGAGGCGUGGCGCCGGAUGUUGUUGAGGGCGAGGGGGUUGAGGCCAGCUUGACGGAGCAA
rnacentral:SRP_RNA from 14 species